UACGUAGGCAGCGAGCGUUGUUCGGAGUUACUGGGCGUAAAGGGCUCGUAGGUGGCCAACUAAGUCAGACGUGAAAUCCCUCGGCUUAACCGGGGAACUGCGUCUGAUACUGGAUGGCUUGAGUUCGGGAGAGGGAUGCGGAAUUCCAGGUGUAGCGGUGAAAUGCGUAGAUAUCUGGAGGAACACCGGUGGCGAAGGCGGCAUCCUGGACCGAUACUGACACUGAGGAGCGAAAGCCAGGGGAGCAAACGGG
rnacentral:rRNA from 1 species